AGAAAGUGCAAUUACACAAUGAAAAGGGGCAAGCACACUGCAUAAAGAUGUAGAUGAGCUAAAGCUACAUGGAAGAGAUGGGACAGCAUGCCAUGGGGGGAGCAGCCCAGCAGGGGAGCCAGGCAGCUGUCUCCUGACUACUUUCUUGACUGGAAAACAUGGGAUGCCUCAGAAUGCUCCAUAUCUUUGUAAGAUGCUUAUUUUGCCUGCAAAAGAAAGUCAUGUGUCUGGAAUAAUAACAUGAAAUGAUAUGAGCAGUGGAGAUUCAAGAAAUUACUCUUCAAAAAAAGUCUAUAGACAUGGUCUCAGGAAAGCUAAAUGCCAAGCAUUAGCAUGAAGAGGCUUCAGGAAAGAUGGUUCCCCGAGGAUGACUUCAAAUUCUGAAAAUAAAAUGCAGCAGACCAGAUCGUAACGUCAGAAUUCAUUUUGGCAACUCUUGGAAAAGAAGAUUCAUUGUUUUGGUUGGUUUGUAAAGCUCUAAUGGUAAACUUCUGUUGUUUUCUAAAGAAAAGGUGGGCCCUUAGAGCACAUAAUAAAUAGUAACAUCGAUUUCACCUUGAAAAUUGCUACAAAAGUAGUUUGACCCUCUGGACUGGGAGAGUGAUUUGGAAGAAAUGAAAAUUCC
rnacentral:lncRNA from 1 species